GUACACAAAAAUGCACAUGCUGUGAGCUCGAUGAGUAGGGCGGGACACGUGGUAUCCUGUCUGAAUAUGGGGGGACCAUCCUCCAAGGCUAAAUACUCCUGACUGACCGAUAGUGAACCAGUACCGUGAGGGAAAGGCGAAAAGAACCCCGGCGAGGGGAGUGAAAAAGAACCUGAAACCGUGUACGUACAAGCAGUGGGAGCACGCUUAGGCGUGUGACUGCGUACCUUUUGUAUAAUGGGUCAGCGACUUAUAUUCUGUAGCAAGGUUAACCGAAUAGGGGAGCCGAAGGGAAACCGAGUCUUAACUGGGCGUUAAGUUGCAGGGUAUAGACCCGAAACCCGGUGAUCUAGCCAUGGGCAGGUUGAAGGUUGGGUAACACUAACUGGAGGACCGAACCGACUAAUGUUGAAAAAUUAGCGGAUGACUUGUGGCUGGGGGUGAAAGGCCAAUCAAACCGGGAGAUAGCUGGUUCUCCCCGAAAGCUAUUUAGGUAGCGCCUCGUGAAUUCAUCUCCGGGGGUAGAGCACUGUUUCGGCAAGGGGGUCAUCCCGACUUACCAACCCGAUGCAAACUGCGAAUACCGGAGAAUGUUAUCACGGGAGACACACGGCGGGUGCUAACGUCCGUCGUGAAGAGGGAAACAACCCAGACCGCCAGCUAAGGUCCCAAAGUCAUGGUUAAGUGGGAAACGAUGUGGGAAGGCCCAGACAGCCAGGAUGUUGGCUUAGAAGCAGCCAUCAUUUAAAGAAAGCGUAAUAGCUCACUGGUCGAGUCGGCCUGCGCGGAAGAUGUAACGGGGCUAAACCAUGCACCGAAGCUGCGGCAGCGACGCUUAUGCGUUGUUGGGUAGGGGAGCGUUCUGUAAGCCUGUGA
rnacentral:rRNA from 1 species